CAGGGAGACAAACCUGAUUGUGAUGUCUGAGUACUUUAUUCUUAGACCAUGAUCCUGUCAUAUCUAGGUCUAUCGGUACCUCAAUUUCAACGCUGAGAUCGAAUGAUUGUUCAGGCUUGUCUUGACUUGUCUUGACUUGACUUAAACAGUUACUCGAUGCUGAGUAGUUGAUCUUUAGUUCCUAAACGUUGUCUAGGUCACCCCAUAGCGGGUUCACUCCUGGGCCAUUAGCUCAGGUGGUUAGAGCGCACCCCUGAUAAGGGUGAGGUCCCUGGUUCAAGUCCAGGAUGGCCCAUUCCAAGUCCGAUUGGAUGAUUGGGGGUUUAGCUCAGUUGGUAGAGCGCCUGCUUUGCAAGUAGGAUGUCAGCGGUUCGAGUCCGCUAACCUCCACUGACCCGAACUCACAGGAUCAUCUGGUUGGUCCGCAAGGAUGAACAGGAUGAGCCAAGAGGUGUGACGUAGACGUUGUUGUGCUGACGAACAGAAUGUUCGACUCAGAGGCGCAAGCCAGCUGAGAUCAGCCUCAGAUCAUUCCAUCGAUUUCAUGCUUUUCAUGAGUCUGAUGAUUGGUUGAUCUGAUGCUGGAUUCAGGCUGAUCAAGCGAGAGCGAGAUCAGCUUUGAGAUUCAGCAGAACCUUGACACUGCAUAGGUGAGUCUGGAAAGAUAAAGCAUCUCAUGGAUGGGAUCUGGCACAGAUCUGCAUUCUAUUUUGAGAGCCGAGACCUUUCAGCGUUCUUCUGAUCCCGCCGAGGGAUUGGGAGUUUGAUCUAGGAUUCAACCACAGGAGAAGGAGCCGAUGCACAAGCAGAGGGUCCUGCAACCUGAGAGGUGAACCUUGAGAGAAUAGGUCUCAUAGCCUGAAGCGUUGGAAGGGUUAAUU
rnacentral:tRNA from 1 species